UACGUAGGCAGCGAGCGUUGUUCGGAGUUACUGGGCGUAAAGGGUGUGUAGGCGGUUGUUUAAGUUUGGUGUGAAAUCUCCCGGCUCAACCGGGAGGGUGCGCCGAAUACUGAAUGACUCGAGUGCGGGAGAGGAGAGUGGAAUUCCUGGUGUAGCGGUGAAAUGCGCAGAUAUCAGGAAGAACACCCGUGGCGAAGGCGGCUCUCUGGGACGGUACUGACGGCUGAGACGCGAAAGCGUGGGGAGCAAACAGG
rnacentral:rRNA from 1 species